rnacentral:tRNA from 1 species
GCUCUCGUGGCCCAGUUGGUUUGUGCGUCGUACUUCUAAUGCGAAGGUCGAGGGUUCGAUCCCCUCCGGGAGCA